rnacentral:lncRNA from 1 species
UCCUCCUCCUCCUCCUCCUUAUUCUUAUUCUUCUUCUUCUUCUUCUUAUUCUUCUUCUCCUCCUCCUCCUCCUCCUUCUUCUCCUCCUCCUUCUUCUUCUUCUUCUUCUCCUCCUCCUCCUCCCCCUUCUUCUUCUUCUUCUUCUUCUUCUUCACCUCUUUCUUCUUCUACUUAGCUUAUUUUCCCCAAGAAAGGCAUACUUCGCUAAUUAUCCUCCAAAAUGACAUAAUUAGCUAAUUUACUUUAUUUAUACCGUAAUUAGCUUAGUUAGGUACAAAACAUCACAAGAACCUUGGUUAGCUCAUAACUUAGCGUGUCUUCCUCCUAAAUGACGUGAUAAGCUCGAAAUAAGAAAAGUAUUGUAAUCAUCCUCUUCCUCUUCUUCUCCUUCUUCUUCUUCUUCUUCCUCUUCUACUUCUUCUCCUCCUCCUUCUUCUCCUUCUCCUCCUCCUCCUCCUCCUCCUUCUUCUUCUUCUUGUUUUUCUUCUCCUUCUUCUUCUCCUCUUUCUUCUCCUCUUUCUUCUUCUCCUUAGCUUAUUUUCCCC